UAGGACCCAACGGGUACUAUGUUUGGAAUGAGUACAAUUUAAAAACCUUAACGAGGAACAAUUGGAGGGCAAGUCUGGUGCCAGCAGCCGCGGUAAUUCCAGCUCCAAUAGUGUAUAUUAAAGUUGCUGCGGUUAAAAAGCUCGUAGUUGGAUUUUAGAGUAUAUUGAUAUGGUCUCUUGUGAUAAACUUGUUGUACUGCAUUAAUUACUCUUUCCUACUGGUUACUCGACUCUGUUCUUUAUUGCAUGGAGUAGUGUCGCAAGGCAUCGCUUAGUAUUUUAUUGCUUUUAGAUGUAGUAAUUGGGUAAAACUGGUUGCGAAACCUAAGGGAUCACAGUAAGGUAUUAAGUGGGGUUCCAGUUCAUUUACUUUGAGUAAAUUAGAGUGUUCAAAGCAGCCUGUAUGGGCAUUGAAUAGAUUAGCAUGGGAUAAUAGA
rnacentral:rRNA from 1 species